rnacentral:rRNA from 1 species
CAACCUGAGAGUUUGAUCCUGGCUCAGAACGAACGCUGGCGGCAGGCUUAACACAUGCAAGUCGAACGCCCCGCAAGGGGAGUGGCAGACGGGUGAGUAACACGUGGGAACGUGCCCAAAGGUACGGAACAACUCCGGGAAACUGGAGCUAAUACCGUAUGUGCCCGAAAGGGGAAAGAUUUAUCGCCUUUGGAUCGGCCCGCGUCUGAUUAGCUAGUUGGUGGGGUAAUGGCCCACCAAGGCGACGAUCAGUAGCUGGUCUGAGAGGAUGAUCAGCCACACUGGGACUGAGACACGGCCCAGACUCCUACGGGAGGCAGCAGUGGGGAAUAUUGGACAAUGGGCGCAAGCCUGAUCCAGCCAUGCCGCGUGAGUGAUGAAGGCCUUAGGGUUGUAAAGCU